GGACGGGUGGCUGAGUGGUUGAAAGCGGUCGCCUCGAAAGCGAUUGAACCCGCAAGGGUUCCGGGGGUUCGAAUCCCUCCCCGUCCGCCA
rnacentral:tRNA from 1 species